CAUUGACAUUACGGCGGUUUUAAAGAACCGCCGUAAUACCCGGUUAUUAUGGCAUUUUUGGUUGCUGCCAUAAUUAACUUUGUGUUUGGUGGUGGUUCUGGUGAUUAUGGCGGUUUUGAACUGCCAUUUUCACACGUAUAUAAAACAAAAGAAUUGCAACCCUAGCCUCAUUAAACGAAACAGAGUAACGGCGCUCUCGAUCUCCCUUCUCUCUCCUUCGUCUCCUCCGUGCUCCGAUAAUGCCGUUCUUCCCUCUCGGGCUUCUCCUCUCUCCGUCGGUACCUCUCCCUCUCCGCCAGUUACUGAUUUCUUCGCUCUCUCUCUCUCUCUCUCUCUCUCUCUCUCUCUCUCUCUCUCUCUCUCUCUCUCCCCGAUCUCAGAUCUAGUGCCCAUGUCUUUAGUAGCUUCUACUUUAUGUGAUUUGCAGUUGAGGUAAUGCCAAUGUCUUCUCAGAUCUAGUGCCAAUUUUGAUUCGGAAGAAACUUUUAGGGUUCAGAAGAAAUUUUUGAAAGUGACGAGGAGCAAUUUGAUUGAGAAAGGUGUUGUUCAGGUCUUCGAAGGUACCUCUGGGAUUGACAAUAAGUUACAACUGUGCAAUUUACUGGAGAGGAAAGACACUCAUAUACAUACAUACACACACAGAUGGUUAACCCAGAAAAUGAAUCACAUAACAUGUUGGGCCCAAUCUGAACAAUCUGAAAAUUCAAUCGUGGACUCUCUUCAAAGCAUUACUAAAUUUCAUUCAAAUUGGGCUAAGAGAAAUAGAGAUAUUUAGCCAAAUACAAUACCAAA